rnacentral:rRNA from 1 species
GACGAACGCUGGCGGCGUGCUUAACACAUGCAAGUCGAACGGAUAAGCUCCAGCUGUAUAGUGUGGAUCAGUGGCGAAAGGGUGAGUAACACGUGAGCAACCUGCUCCUGAAUCUGGAAUAAGCCCUGGAAACGGCGUCUAAUACUGGAUAUGAGAACGGUUCGUAUGGGCUCUUUCUGGAUAGUUUUUCGGUUGGGGAUGGGCUCGCGGCCUAGCAGCUUGUUGGUGUGGUAAUGGCGCACAAAGGCGACGAGGGGUAGCCGGCCUGAGAGGGAGACCGGCCACACUCGGACAGAGGCACCGCCCGGACUCCUACGGGAGGCAGCAGUGGGAGAUAUUGCACGCUGGGCGAAGGCCUGAUGCAGCGACGCCGGAUGAUGGAUGACGGCCGUCGGGUUGUAAACCUCAUUCGGCAGGGAAGAAGCGCAAGUGACGGUACCUGACGAAGAAGCACCGGCUAACUACGUG